AGAGUUGGUCAGGCAGUCGCUUUUUUACUUUGUAAUACAAGUAAAACAGAGGAAAGUCCGGGCUCCAAAGGGCAAGGUACCAGAUAACUCCUGGGGGGCGUGAGCCUACGGAAAGUGCAGCAGAAAAUAAACCGCCUAACUCUUAGGAGUUAGGUAAGGGUGAAAUGGUGUGGUAAGAGCGCACCGCGUGACUGGUAACAGAAACGGCAUGGUAAACCCUACCUGGAGCAAGAUCAAAUAGAGGAGCUGACUCGUGGCCCACGGGGCUCCUGGGUAGAUUGCUUGAGCCAUAAGGUGACUUAUGGCCUAGAUGAAUGACUGUCCUCGACAAAACCCGGCUUAUCGACCAACUCUACUU
rnacentral:RNase_P_RNA from 1 species